rnacentral:lncRNA from 7 species
AUGGAGGUAGCCGAGGGAGAGGAGCUGGCCGACAUCGUUACGGCAGAUGGACCUGCGAGCAAGGCGGGGACGGCGUGCAAUGGCGAGGCGCGACAGGGCGAGUCCGAGAAGCUUCUUGACCCUCGUGGUCUGCUUGGAGGUCUUGCCUUGGAAGAAUCCCAUGGUGAUUGUUGGGGUUUAGCUUUCCUGUCAGUCUUUUGCUUGAUGGAGAGGGAUGGGAAGAAGGCGACUUGCUGGUUGAUUGAUCUGAGGACUGCAUGCUAUGGCAGGACAAAGAUUUUAUAG